AGUUCAAUUUUCUCAACAAAUAUCAUUCAUUUAUCGCUUCCCUGAAUUUAAUCCAUGCUAAUAUAUUCUGUCAGUUUCUUGUCAUGAUGAGCUCUGUUUUCUGUGCGUAGGCUUUUGCGCAAUAAACCAAUCGUACACCAAUUGGAAUAAUUAUGGCAAUAUGCGUUAUAAGCACAUGCCGGUUUAUUAAUUUUUGUAAUGAAUAACAUAAUUAUUAACAUAACAAAUUAUUAAGGAAACUAAUGUUCGUAAAAAUAAUUAUUGGACCAGGAACUGGUCCCCAAUCGCAGCUAAUCUUGUUGUUGUUGUUGUUGUCGUUGUCGGUGUCGUUGUCGUUGUCGUUGUCGUUGUCGUUGUCGUUGUUGUUAGGGGGCGACGCUCUUUGAAAAAAUCCUAAGGCUCCGUCAUUACUUGUCCGAUCGGAAUGAAACUUGACAUAAUUAUUCUAAGCAAUAUUCCGCAUCGAUUGACGGUGCUCGAUUUUUCAUUUUUGACUUUAGAAGCGAAAUACAAGCAAUUUGACUGUAUUCGCAGCAAUUAAUAUAUACAUAUCGUUAAUAUUCAGCAAAUAUAUCGUUGUCGUUGUCGUUGUCGUUGACGUUGUUGUUGUUGUUGUUGUUGUUGUUGUUGUU